rnacentral:rRNA from 1 species
UCCAGACUCCUACGGGAGGCAGCAGUGGGGGAUAUUGGACAAUGGGGGAAACCCUGAUCCAGCGACGCCGCGUGAGUGAAGAAGUAUUUCGGUAUGUAAAGCUCUAUCAGCAGGGAAGAAAAAAGACGGUACCUGACUAAGAAGCCCCGGCUAACUACGUGCCAGCAGCCGCGGUAAUACGUAGGGGGCAAGCGUUAUCCGGAUUUACUGGAUGUAAAGGGAGCGUAGACGGCAAUACAAGUCGGAAGUGAAAUACCCGGGCUCAACCUGGGAACUGCUUUGGAAACUGUAUGGCUGGAGUGCUGGAGAGGUAAGCGGAAUUCCUAGUGUAGCGGUGAAAUGCGUAGAUAUUAGGAGGAACACCAGUGGCGAAGGCGGCUUACUGGACAGUAACUGACGUUGAGGCUCGAAAGCGUGGGGAGCAAACAGGAUUAGAUACCCUCGUA